UACGUAGGGGGCAAGCGUUGUCCGGAUUUAUUGGGCGUAAAGAGCUCGUAGGCGGUUUGUCCGCGUCUGCUGUGAAAACCUAAGGCUCAACCUUGGGCUUGCAGUGGGUACGGGCAGACUAGAGUGCGGUAGGGGUGACUGGAAUUCCUGGUGUAGCGGUGGAAUGCGCAGAUAUCAGGAGGAACACCGAUGGCGAAGGCAGGUCACUGGGCCGCAACUGACACUGAGGAGCGAAAGCAUGGGAGCGAACAGG
rnacentral:rRNA from 1 species